UAAAACCUUUGUAUGCUAAUUCCUACACAAAGAUUUCUAUUCUUGUUUUUUCUUAACUGAAGAAAAUAUUUCUAAUAUAAUGAUCACUGAGCAAGAAUGUUCAAGAAAUUAAAGUAGAACUUUCUUUUCCAGUCUUCACACAAGAUUUGCUUCUUGUUUGUUCAAAUGGAAAAUAUUGCAGAAUCUAUCCUGAAGAUUAUUAUUCUUGCCUUAUACCAGUUUUUUCUUUAGGAUUUGUUUUUACCAGAAUAAGAUUCUUGAACUUUCUUGUUGUCUCAAUGUAGAAUGUCCGAGAAACGUAAUUCUUGGUUUUCAUGUUAUAACUUAAGGAAAUGCAAUAGUUUUUUAAUCAGUUUCUUGAGCAAAUACUGCAAAUAAAUCAAGAAAUUGCAAAACAACUUAUAACUAGCAUGAAAUUCUUAAAUGUUCUUGAAUGUUAUCUUUAUCCAUAAAGUUUAAGAAAAGACGUUUCUUGUUUUUCUUGAUGAUAUGUAAGGAGAUAUUUUUUCAGAACUCACUUGACUGAAUACUAAUAAGAAAAACAAGAAAUUAUGAAACAAGCUAUGACUAGCAGAAUAUUCUUGAAUGUUAUAAUCAUGUUUCUUAUCAAGAAAAUCUAAGAAAGAUGAUUCUCGUUUUUCUUAAUAAUAUUUAAUGAAAACAAUAAAAGUAUAAUUUUCUCCUUAUAUUAUUGACAACUACGUUUAAACAAUUGGAGCAUCAAGAUAUGAAAAAUAAUUUUGAGCUAGCAUUGAUUUUCUUUUGUUUUCCCAAUACGAGAGUUAAGAAAUAUUUUCUUGCAGUAAGAUUCUUCAUUUUGCUAAGGAUCAUGGGAAAUUACUCCCAUCAUCCUUUGCUGCGAUUUUGAACUGGGAGUCACAGUUGCAAGUCACAGUGCUCCAGCUCUGUAGUUUUUUUGCCUCAAAUGUCCUUUAGUUCUUACAUUAACAGGGAACAAAUAUGAUGUGUUUCGUAAAGACGAUUUUCUGCAUCAUGUGGGACCUUGCAUACAACGUGGCUAGCUUUUUUAGAGUUUCAAAAUGCUACCGAAGCCAAGGCCAAGCCGGAUGCCCCCCUCCCCCAUGCAGGCUCAGAAACCUACUGGUACAAGGAGGAUGUUCCCAUGAUCCCAUCUCAACUUUGGAAAAGCCCUUAACAAGGAGAAUUCUUCAUUAUAAAUACAGCAACGGCAACAUUGUAGCUCUAAUGGUUUCAGAUAAGGACAAUUAGUUAUAGUUGGCUGCACGGUACUGUAUCAGGAAAAAAUGUCAAUAAGCAAGCGUAAGUUACAAAAUGGUUGAUUUUUGCAAUCUUUGGUAAGGAAUGAGUAAUCGAGGAAAACACCACAAAACUUGUAUGAAUCAUAUUGAUGAUAAUAAAUAUGAUUGCCAUCAUGU